GAGAGAGGCGAAAGGAAUUCUGCGGAAAAAGGCCUAUGUUCAGCCCCGACGGCAAAUACCUAAACGAGAAUUAUUUCAUUUAUUUUAAUAUACCUGAAACGCUAACGGGUAUUAUUUUUCAAGCUACAUGGAUUACUGGAAAAACAAUUAUUCGAAAUGUACCUUCUCCUCUUAGAGAGUGGAAAAUGUAUGUGCCCAGAUUAGUCUUCGUCCCUGCAUAUUUUCUUUAGUAGGGUGAGUUGGUACAUCUGUUAUAAAAAUACCCUUAAAUCGCAAUGUAUACUUUUAUGAUUGAAAAAUCUAUUAAUAAAUUGGUAGAUGUAGCCGUUACUACGUGGUAGUAUAUAAUCAUGAAAAAUGAGAAAUAAAACUUUCUAUGAU